UACGGGGGGGGCAAGCGUUGUUCGGAAUUACUGGGCGUAAAGGGCUGGUAGGCGGCCAACUAAGUCGGAUGUGAAAUCCCCAGGCUUAACCUGGGAACUGCAUCCGAUACUGGUCGGCUUGAAUCCGGGAGAGGGAUGCAGAAUUCCAGGUGUAGCGGUGAAAUGCGUAGAUAUCCGGAGGAAUACCGGUGGCGAAGGCGGCAUCCUGGACCGGCAUUGACGCUGAACAGCGAAAGCUAGGGGAGCAAACGGG
rnacentral:rRNA from 1 species